rnacentral:sRNA from 1 species
CUUCGUCGAUCUGUUGCGGGCUGAUGAAGUGGAUAUGCAUAUCGAUGCCGCCCGGGGUGACGAUGAGGCCUUUGCCCGCGAUGACUUCGGUGGCUGCGCCGAUGGCGAUGUUCACGUUCGGCUGGAUGUCGGGAUUGCCUGCCUUGCCGAUGGCGAAGAUGCGUCCGCCCUUGAUGCCAAUAUCGGCCUUGACGAUGCCCCAGUGAUCGAGGAUCAGCGCGUUGGUGACGACGGUAUCGACGACAUCGGCCGAGGGGCGUUGCGACUGGCCCAUCCCGUCGCGAAUG